UCUAUAAAAUGUUUGUCGUGUAACUUUUGAGGUCAGACGUACAAAUAGUCUGAAAUGAUUGUAUGUCAAGCCCUCGCUUCUACUUGAAUGCAGUGUCACGUGUUGUCAUUUUGUGUGGGCUUGUUUUGUUUUUGAGUUGGAUGCUGUCUCUGCAAACUGGUUGCUGUCAGGAAAAGGUCGGGGUUAGCUGAUUGAUGUAGUUACCAAACAUGAGGACAAAGAUUAAACUGACACCUGAGUCUUAAUGGCGAUUGUUUUGUGGAAGAAUAGUUCGACGCUCUGCCAGAAAUAAAACUGAUGUGCAACCAGAUAAAACACGCAGCAUUAGCUGGAAUGUUUGAAAAGUAAAAAUAGAAGAAACAUUAUCUGAUGAGAAAGCGCGUCUACAAUCUAUUGUUUUGUCAAUGAGGACAGACUUUACGCCUUUCAUUUUUACUUAAAUUUUGUCCCUUUUCUUUUCUUCUUUUCGUUCUUUUCACUGCUCAUGGUAGCAAUUUUACAAUUUUCUCCAUUAAAAAGACUUGUCAGGUAUUUUUUUUUUUUUGCACGAUGUAAAUAAGAUUUUCCCUUUAUCUUCAUGACACUGUAGAACUCUGAAGGUUAAAAUGUCCUCGAUGUCCUCGUGACAAGUUAGUCGUGACAAGGUGACCCGGAAAUGUUCUGCUUAAUUUCUCACAGCUUAUCGCUCUGACCCUUGAAGGGUUCGAAAGAGUGCAGCAUGAUGUCAAACUACACGACUGUCAAGGAGUAAAGCUUUGUCUGUAGAUGUAGAUAAGAUUAUUAGCUGUCGCCCACGCGCCCGUGAUUAGUCCGUCUUUACCAGGACACACUGAUAAAUAUGUGAAUAUGUUUGGCUAUUCUUGGUAAACAGGGGUACCUGGGUUGCUUUCUUCCACUAACUUUUCCAGCUGUAAUUUUAUUGUCAACUUUAGAUAUAUUACUUCACUUGAGUCGAGCUUAUUAUUUAUGGUCAGCGUCACUGUAUCAAAGUACUCUCGUGAACUCUCGACGUCUUAUAACGUGAGUGGCUGACAGCUCCUAUUUGGCACAAAGUUUCCCGGGAAGGGAGAGCUACCGUCGAGUACCACAUCCGCCAUGCCAUCUUUCACGUGAAGAGCACUGCCAAGUGUGACAACAACCUGACAGUGAUAGGGAGGAGUGAGUGAGGAGGAAGAGAGAGGGAGGAGCCAAAGCGAGGGAGGGAGAUGGAAAAUAUUUGUGGCAAGUUAACUGCACCCUUGCUGGUAUCUUACAGCAAGCACGAAGAUGUCAUAAAAUGACGGAGAUGGCUGUCAAGUGCGCGCGUGGAGCUUGUCGCUUUGACAUUGCUAGAGAAUGACAUAACCAGUAAAAGUAGAUGACACAUU